CAGAAAAUAGUUUAUAAAAUAAAAUUUUAAUUUUGGGAAUUAAAGAAGAAAGUUUUUUUUCUUUUCUGA
rnacentral:tRNA from 1 species